ensembl:lncRNA
CCGAUGCCGAGGCCGUUCCCGAGGCGGUGCCCGAUGCCGAGCCCGAGGCCGUUCCCGAGGCGGUGUCCUUGUCCAAUGCCGUUCCUGAGGCCGUUCCUGAGACCAUUCCCGAGGCGGUGCCCGAUGCCGAGGUCGUUCCCGAGGCGGUGUCCUUGUCCGAUGCCGUUCCUGAGGCCAUUCCCGAGGCGGUGCCCGAUGCUGUUCCGGAGGCCGAUGCGGGGCCCGAGAUGGUUCCGGAGGCGAUACCCGUGUCCAAGGCCGUUCCCGAGGCGGUGCCCUUGUCUGAUGCCGUUCCCAAUGCCGUGACCUGGCCAUCGCCACAGCCUGCUCCUUACUGGCUCCCCGAUUGGCAGGUUCCGUUCGGGCCACUCAAAUGGCGAAUUCCUCCCUGGCCGUCUGCACAACGAGAAUGGACUGAUCCACCGUGGCCACCUGAACUGCCUGGCCCCUCGUGGUCCCCUGAACUUUCGGGUCCACCGUGGCCACCUGAACUGCCUGGUCCCUCGUGGUCCCCUGAACUUUCGGGUCCACCAUGGCCCCCUGAUCUGACCGAGCCACCUGGGCUACCAGGGGAGCCAUCACUGCCGGUCCCAGUUCCCCUACACGGGCCUGGCCCGCCAUCCCUCCCCCUGUUCUG